GUAGGGAAUAUUGCACAAUGGGCGAAAGCCUGAUGCAGCAACGCCGCGUGCACGAUGAAGGCCUUCGGGUUGUAAAGUGCUUUUCGGGGAGAUGAGGAAGGACAGUAUCCCCGGAAUAAGGAUCGGCUAACUACGUGCCAGCAGCCGCGGUAACACGUAGGAUCCGAGCGUUAUCCGAAUUUACUGGGCGUAAAGCGCGUGUAGGCGGUCUGAUAAGUUGGAUGUGAAAGCUCCUGGCUCAACUGGGAGAGGUCGUUCAAUACUGUCAGACUAGAGGAUGGUAGAGGGAGGUGGAAUUCCCGGUGUAGUGGUGAAAUGCGUAGAUAUCGGGAGGAACACCAGUGGCGAAAGCGGCCUCCUGGGCCAUUCCUGACGCUCAGACGCGAAAGCUAGGGGAGCGAACGGGAUUAGAUACCCUAGUAGUCC
rnacentral:rRNA from 1 species